ACUGAAAACAGGAAAGGCAAGCUCUUUGAAAACGUUUAUUCAACCUUUAAUACUCCGUUAAAGUUUAUAGUUUUAGCCUACUGCAUAUUACAGUAGCAUUACGGCUCGUGCGUUUACUGACCUUUACUUACUGGUAUUUCUACUUUGUUUGCCUGCUAUGAUAUUUUAUUUUUAUGUGGUAGGCUAUAAAGAUAGCAUUUAUUAAAUAUAUGGAGAUAUAUAUGUGGAGAAUGAAUAUACUUGACUAAAUUCAACAAAUAUUUUUAACAGUUGUAUUUUAUUGUACUUUAGUGUGGUGGUUACUGAUUUGGGUUCUAGAUGUCUCUUCACCUUUGUUUUGUUUUUGUUGUUGAUGUUUUGUGACUCCUUAAGUAAUUAUGCUCACAUUAUGUCCAAAUGUGGCUGCUAUUUAAUAGGAUGUUCAUAGAUGUAAAUGCAAUUUUUCUUUACUAACCAAAGUGUGAGGCACUGGCAUUUCAACGAUUACACACAUGACUUGGCAUUAUUACAAUUUUUUAUUAGUACUAUUAAGCAAAUAUGUAAUGUUUAUAACUGUUACCGAUACUACUGUUGUUUUUCUACGGGAAUGUGAAGACAUUCAAGUUGGAGCCUGGAAAGUGGAUGGUUUUGUGAAACUGUGUCUAAGCUGCAGCAGCAUUGUUUUCAAUCAAAGAGUGACUUUUUCUGCUCUAAUACACAACUCAAAACACAGAAAACACAAAGAACGGGCGAAGGACAACGACUCCCUUUUGUUUUCUGCCAGUUCUGUUCAGCUGUUAAACCAGAUGACUUAAACAAUCACAUUAUAUAAGCAAUGUAUACAUUUGGACUUUUUUGUGUAUAUUUAUGCUUUUUGAAGGUGAUAUUUAACAGUAACUUUCUUGUGUUUUUCUCUUUUCAGACAUGUGUUGAUGGUUCUGAACAACCUGCACUGCACUGAUGUUAAUGUUUUAGGGAGCGAGAAGUGAUCAACAGAGCCAGAUGAUCAAGCUGAGGUGACAUCUGAUCACUGGAUGUGUUACAGCAGCUUAACAUUUCUACAUGAAUGUAUACAAAUACACUAGUGUCUUGCAGACACACUGUGACACAA